rnacentral:piRNA from 1 species
UGGAGAACAGGAGCGUCCAGAAAGAA